UACGUAGGUGGCAAGCGUUGUCCGGAAUUAUUGGGCGUAAAGCGCGCGCAGGCGGUCCUUUAAGUCUGAUGUGAAAGCCCACGGCUCAACCGUGGAGGGUCAUUGGAAACUGGGGGACUUGAGUGCAGAAGAGGAAAGCGGAAUUCCACGUGUAGCGGUGAAAUGCGUAGAGAUGUGGAGGAACACCAGUGGCGAAGGCGGCAUCCUGGCCCUGACCUGACGCUGAGGCGCGAGAGCGUGGGGAGCAAACGGG
rnacentral:rRNA from 1 species